UCGCUUAUCAAGCAAAAAUCGGAGUUGCAAUCAGAGUUCUUCAAAGAUCUCGACAAAUACACUCCUCGCUUCCUGGAGAAGUUCAAGACCCAGAGGGGGAAAGUGUCGGACAGAAACUUGAAUAUCUGCAACAAGUCACACCUGGGAGUACAGAUGUGACUGGGAGGUGAACAGCAGUCCUCCGUGGCUCUCCCGUCAUCCUUGGAGAUGACAACGCAGACUUCUUCAAGAAUUUGUGUGAGUUUAGGAUGGCGUGAAGCUUCGACUUGACCCUAUGGAAACACAGCAGAUGCCACCAAAGGGUCCUGAUCGGGGACUCUGAUGACCUUCUGGACGUGUCCCACGCCUCCAUUGGGACCCUGACGGUGCUGAAGACAUCGUGGCCUCCUCACUCGCUGGACCUGGAGUCUACAACUACUGCCAUCGUUUUGGGAGGAACAGUCGUGAUGGGUGACCGUGAUAAUCUUCCCCGUGCCGUGUGGCUACUCUUCGGACUUAUUUACCCCUGAAUUUGGAGUAUCCUCAACGAGUGAGGAACACCUUCUGAAUUUAUUCAUAGAGUGCUUCUCACUUGGACCAAAAACCCUAAAAUACAAUCACUCAAAAAUCUACUGAUGCCGUUUGGGAAUGUGUUCAUGAUGUGC